rnacentral:rRNA from 1 species
UGGGGAAUUUUGGACAAUGGGCGCAAGCCUGAUCCAGCAAUGCCGCGUGUGCGAAGAAGGCCUUCGGGUUGUAAAGCACUUUUGUCAGGAAAGAAAACCAUUGGGUUAAUACCCGAGUGGGAUGACGGUAACUGAAGAAUAAGCACCGGCUAACUACGUGCCAGCAGCCGCGGUAAUACGUAGGGUGCGAGCGUUAAUCGGAAUUACUGGGCGUAAAGCGUGCGCAGGCGGUUGUGUAAGACAGAUGUGAAAUCCCCGAGCUUAACUUGGGAAUUGCAUUUGUGACUGCAUAACUAGAGUGCGUCAGAGGGGGGUGGAAUUCCACGUGUAGCGGUGAAAUGCGUAGAGAUGUGGAGGAACACCAAUGGCGAAGGCAGCCCCCUGGGAUGACACUGACGCUCAUGCACGAAAGCGUGGGGAGCAAACAG